GAUGAACGCUGGCGGCGUGCCUAAUACAUGCAAGUCGAGCGAACGGACGAGAAGCUUGCUUCUCUGAUGUUAGCGGCGGGCGGGUGAGUAACACGUGGAUAACCUACCUAUAAGACUGGGAUAACUUCGGGAAACCGUAGCUAAUACCGGAUAAUAUUUUGAACCGCAUGGUUCAAAAGUGAAAGACGGUCUUUCUGUCACUUAUAGAUGGAUCCGCGCUGCAUUAGCUAGUUGGUAAGGUAACGGCUUACCAAGGCAACGAUGCAUAGCCGACCUGAGAGGGUGAUCGGCCACACUGGAACUGAGACAGGGUCCAGACUCCUACGGGAGGCAGCAGUAGGGAAUCUUACGCAAUGGGCGAAAGCCUGACGGAGCAACGCCGCGUGAGUGAUGAAGGUCUUCGGAUCGUAAAACUCUGUUAUUAGGGGAGAACAUAUGUGUAAGUAACUGUGCACAUCUUGACGGUACCUAGUCAGAAAGCCACGGCUAACUACGUG
rnacentral:rRNA from 1 species